ensembl:lincRNA
ACAUUCAAGUUCUAUUUUACUUGGUUCGAAAGCACUCGCCCUUCUCGUCAGGGGCGUUCUUGCCAGCCUGCCGCAGGAAGGAAUGUGGAGCCCCUGGGGAGGGCGGCAGGCGGCAGGACAGCAAGUGUUGCAAGAGCGGCAUCCGGGCAUGUGCUAAGACAGGGGCCAAGGAGAGAGAGCUGGAGUGUCCUGGGGACAUCCAGUAGAGGAUAGCUGGCGCAUGUGCACACCCUCGUGCAUAGGUGUGUGUCCUAGAUUCUCGCAAUUGAACUUUCAGAGCUCCUAAGGGCUUGGGGCUUCUGGAGAGGGCUUGGAGAGUCUGGUCGCAAGCCCUCUCUGGGUCACACCCUCCACAAAGUCCUGGGCUCAGAUAGAUCCAGGUACACUUAGGCUGUAGGGGUCAGGCAAGGGGCUUAGGGGAGCCGAGACCUCCACAACAAGUCAGGCUUUGGCUUCUCUCUCACCUUGGAGCGCAGCCAGGGCACUUUUGCACACACGACUGGAUUCGGGGUAGGCCUCAGCACGGGACUCCUUAACCGUACCCACACUUGGUGGCUCACUACUCUGCACCUUUCCUAGUCCAGUUCCUAAUUAGGGGCAGCCCUGUUCCUUAAUCAUUCCCAAGUCAUUCAAUGGUAGGAGCUGCUCUCUGUAGGGUCCCCUGCUAAUUCCUCAGCACACACUUCCCACCUCCCUGGGAGAUUAAGGCCUCAACUUCCAUCUUCUCUGGAAGGUAGAUUUUUAAGGCCAUCUUGUUGGGUAGGUGUUGGGAGCUCAAAUCCUUACCCAGAUCUUAACUCUGGCUGGGUCACCGCCCACACUGCUUCCCCCUGCUCAGGUUUCCGUCUGGCAGGGUGGAUUUUUGCCUUGGCCUUGAAAAUUCCCCAGUAUUCCAACUUGUCCUACAAGGGCCCAGACUAAGGUGACCAGAGGUGAGAGCAUUGAAGGACAGGCAGCACUGAGAAGUGUACAGUGCUGGCCAUGCCCAUUGCCUCAACAGCAUGAGGGUGCACAGGGAGUAGGUCUCUGAGCCUGACACACCCCGGACAGGAGGGUUUAGGGGAAGUGUUUAAAGUAAGGACGUCGGGCUUUGGUUAACAUGGAUUUCUGAAUAGAAGGGUUGGAGAGCUAUAGCAAGCACCCACAACAUACACCAACUGAGUUCGUCCCCAUGGGAUGAGUGUAGCAGGCAGAGCCCAGAGGUCCUCAGUCCCACCCCACCUCCCAGUGGGGAGCACCGAGGGCGAGGACCGGGCCCUUGGGGAGCCCCCUCUCCUUGAACUGGCUUGGGGGAGAGCCCAGGAUGUGGAAUUUGGAUGGUCCGGUUAGGAACAGAAAGGAAGAGAAGCAGCUGGUUGGAAAGGGGACAGUGGUGGGGGCGGGGGGGGAUUCCUAGGCAAAGUUAGAGGUGUGGAGUGGGUGGAGCUCAGGGCAGAGAAUUUGUAUAAGACUAAAGGAGGCCCAGGGGACUUGGGGGGCGUUGAACCAACUGGUCCAGACUCUGGGGGCCGGGGCCGUCGUGAUGGAUCAGGCAGGGCCUGAGUAGAGUAGGCAGGGCUGGGGUCGGGGCCUGGGCCUAAUAGUUCCAUGGUUCACAUGAUGUCGUCCAGCAGGUUGGCGCUGGCUACCCAGUCUAGUGCACGCGGCUCGGAAGCAGCCAUGAUCAUGCACAUGAAGGGGCGGCCAGUGCGCCGAUCCGUGGGAUAGAUGGUUGUGGGCGUGAAGCGCCGGUUAGCUUCCACAAACUCACAGAGCUGCUCGUAGACCCGUGGGAAUUCGUGGCGGAGGAAGACCCCGCGCAUUCGCAACUCACGUUGGAUAUGGAUGAAGGCUACUUCACGCGCGCGCCGGCCGGCCUCACCUUCUUCGUCCAGGCCCGCAGUACCUGGGGGUGGCGUCAGGAUCAGCGUUUCCAUAUCUGGCUCUCCGCCACGCGCAGGAGGAGGACGCGUCGGGCUGCCAGCGGCCAGAGCCACCUUGGCGAACUUGCGCACCGUGGGCCCAGGAGUGCGCGGCGCGGGCCGGGCAGCGGCUCCGGGGGGUGCAGCGCCGGGGCCCACAGCCACGGACACGCUAAGCAGGAAGCACUCCGCCGGCUCAUAGAGCCUUCCAGCGGCCGCCAGCUCUCGUGCAUAGCUACCCAGGGGCGCCGCAUGUGUAGCCAGCUCACGCAGCGACAGGUAGGUGGGCGAUAGCAGCAGCCCUUCGAGGCCGAAGCGUAGGAAGUUGUCGGCAGAGCCCGGGCUCGGGAAGCCCAAGAACAGCACGCCACGGCCUCGCGACAGGAAUCCGACCCGCGCUAUGCGCGAGAAGGCGCGAUGUACUGGGCUGCUGUCGCGGCAGAACUGCAGCACGUGGCGGCACACGCUGCCCACGCGGCCGUACACGCAACGCGCCUUGUGCGCAUCCCAGUCCUCUCGGCGGCACAGACGCGAGCAGUAGUAGGUAUAGCAGCUGUGGCAGGACUUGAAGUAGAGGCAGGCGUUGAACAUGGUCUCUGUCCGCCGGCAGCGCGCGUUGGAGCAGGUCAUCAAGUCAUCCUCGUCUGCGCUGGGCUCCGGGGAGGCGUCGGCUGCCUCCCCCGAGCCGGUGGGCUCUUCAGUGCUGCCAGCCGAGGCCGGGGGCGAGCGCGAUGGCGCCAGCAGGGUGGCCCCUCCAGGGCCCGCAGGCCGGGAGUCCAGCAGGCGGCGGAGUUGGCGGCCUAAACCUUCGGCGGCAGGCUCCGGGGCUUGGGCUGGCGACCGUGAGUCGAUGACCAGGUCAGUGAUGAGCUCGUCCAGCUGCUCGAGGCUGCGCUGGCGGCUUGAAGCAGGACCCUCGGGGACCGUGGGUGCUGGCUGCCGUGGUCGGCCUCCAGGCAAUUCCCAGCCCUUGGCAGUCGGGCGCUCCACUGAGCGCAGGUCAUUGUCUGUGAUGGUAAUCUCUGGCGUGACGUACCAGUUGCGGCCCAGGCUCUCCCCCGCGCGACCCUUCUCCGUCAGCGACGUCUCGGACAGCGACAGUGCUGCAUAGCGUCUGGGUGAGGUGGACAGAUUCACUACGACUGGUGGACGCCGACCUUCAGGGGAUGAACCCCGCGUAUCCCGAACCUCGCGUCCCAGAAGGUUCUCAUAGCUGCGGCCGCGUCCUAGAGGAUCUUCACGACGAGGACCAGGAGCUAGGAUGUUGUCCCAGGAUCGAGAGUAGUGGCGGCUAUCGGUGGCCAGCCGGGGUGGGCUUGUGCCGGUGCCGCCGUGCCACGAGGCCAACAGUGGUCCAGGGGCGGGAGGCGGCAUCACCUGAAGGGUGCGGUAAGGCCUCGGACCCCAGUCAGCCCAGGCUGGGCUGCUGCGCGGGUGCGGGUAAGUCCGAGCCAGUAUAUCGCGUUCACGGUACCUCCCAAAGUCCUCGGUGUAAAAGGUGCGGGCUCCAGGGUGCGCCCGGGGCUCUUCUGGGACGUACCGGGGAACGAAAGGCAUACCGUAGGCUCGAGUUGUCUCCCCGUAGUAGGAGCGGGAGGGGGGCUCCUGGAUCGGGAAGGUGCGUACUUCGCCAGCAUAGUAGCUGCCCCCACGCCUUGGACUGGGUCUAGGGGGUUCUUCGGACAAAUAGGGCCUGGAACAGUAGCCAUCAAAGGGAAGGCCGGGGCUUGUGGUAAAGCUGCCUGCGUAGCCCUCUGGCUCCUCGGUGUAGAAGAAUUGGGUGGGUCCUGGAGGCGUUGUGAAGGGUUGACUGCGGUGCUCCAAGUAGUCCCGGGGCCCAGGCAGCGGCCCUUCGCAGUACAGAGCUCUGGGGUCAGUACAGUACAAGUCACUGGGGGUGGGAGUGCGUGACAGAGCGGCGUGCUGCAGCACUGCCUCGUCCGGUUUGAUGUCCAAACGGCAGCGGACAUGGGGGACGGGUCCAGAGGGUGGUUCCGGUGGUGCGCAGCGGCCUGGGGUGGCGCAUAGAGGCGCGAUGCGUCCGGGGCCUCCCCGCUGUGGCUGGAGCUUGAUGGGGUGCAGCUCAUUAGCGAGAGCUCUCAGCGCAGGAUACGAGGGCUCCCGGCGCGGCGACCCCUCCACCCGCACUGCACGCUGGGCUUCCCGGCCUCUGCGUUGCAGUACGGGCGGCGAAGCUGGAGCAGUCGCCAGGCCUUGGGGCGCACGGGGCGCACUCUUGGAACGGGUGCGGCGCCGAGGCUCGCUGUCUCGGGGUCGGGCGCGCGGUGGCGCAGGUUCAGGAGGUGGCGGCUCUGGGUGUGUCUCCAUGGUGGGCUCGUCCAGUGCCUCUAAGAAGUCAAAACUACGGCAGUGGCGCUUGUUGAAAGGCGUGGGCGCAGCAGGCCGGGCCACGGAUCGCUCACAUGGCUGGCGUUUGGACGUGAGCCCUGGGUCCACCACCUUGAUGUCCUGGUACACGGUCGACACCAGCAAGUCCGGAGGGUCCGUGCGGGUCAUCUUAAAAGACGUCCCCAGGCUGACAGCUCCAGUCACUCGGCCUUUCGGGGAUUUUGUCCUGGGAGAAGAUACCGGUCAGGGCAGCCUCCUCUGCACCCCAAGCCCUUUACCCCACCCCACCCCACGUGCUGGUCCGGCUUACCUGGGGCAUAGGGGAUGGAGCAGCCUUGGCUGCAGGUCUUAGUCAAGGCUUCUGGUGCUG